rnacentral:rRNA from 1 species
GUGGGGAAUAUUGGACAAUGGGCGCAAGCCUGAUCCAGCCAUGCCGCGUGAGUGAUGAAGGCCUUAGGGUUGUAAAGCUCUUUCAGUAGGGAAGAUAAUGACGGUACCUACAGAAGAAGCCCCGGCUAACUUCGUGCCAGCAGCCGCGGUAAUACGAAGGGGGCUAGCGUUGUUCGGAUUUACUGGGCGUAAAGCGCACGUAGGCGGAUUGGUCAGUUAGAGGUGAAAUCCCGAAGCUCAACUUCGGAACUGCCUUUAAUACUGCCAGUCUAGAGUCCGGAAGAGGUAAGUGGAACUCCUAGUGUAGAGGUGGAAUUCGUAGAUAUUAGGAAGAACACCAGUGGCGAAGGCGGCUUACUGGUCCGGUACUGACGCUGAGGUGCGAAAGCGUGGGGAGCAAACAGGAUUAGAAACCCGAGUAGUCC